UAAUUUUUGAAUGGAUGAAAACAUCUUACGAGUUAACAUGCACAGGCUGUCCUGAGAGACUAUUAAAGGAGGAUUGUAAGAGAGGAAUAUGCCAACAAGAACUGCAAUGAGGAGUCGUUGACAGGAGGAAACUUUUUAAAAGAGACCACACACUACCUCAUCAACAUGCUUGAAGAUGAUCUGAGCCUGAAGAGGGACAAAGGGCCUAGUGAUAGACUACCUUUCUGCAAGUAUUGACAAUUCUGCUUUUGUAUGGUGAUAAUUUCAGGGAAUACGUGGUGAUGAGGCAUCAGUGUUGCAAUUAUCUGUUUGUGAGAGAUCAAAGAUGUUUCGCAAGCCAUAGCAAGAAAAAAGAGGUUUUGUGAGAACUUCAACAACCAGAGAUGAGAUUGAGACUACCCAACAACAACUGUGUGAGUGAUCGAUGGGACCCAAGUCUAUACAAGAAUUCCUGGAGGGAAACAAGCCUUGUACUUUCCUGAAGGGCAAGUCCACCCCAACAAAAAGUUUCUUUGAUAUAAUACAGAAAAGUCCAAUGAGCAUAACACUAAACAUUUCAUCAAAAUUUGAUGUAAAAUGAGAAAGUGUUGACAUUUUGAAGUUUCGCUUAUUUUCACAAAACAGACAUCCUGGUCAGUAUGCAAAUGAGUGACAAAGUGACGUUCUCCACUCAGUGUUUCUUUUUGUAAUAUACUAGUAUCAUGAUUUUUUUUCCCUCAUAAUGUGUAUAAAGUACAGGUGAGAUAUGGUUUGAUUUCUCCCUGAAACUUUUGUAAAAAGCCAUUGUGGCAACCUAUACUCAAUUCGAUGAAGAGUUUUCUCAUAAUUGU